rnacentral:rRNA from 2 species
AGCACUUUAAGUUGGGAGGAAGGGCAGUAAGUUAAUACCUUGCUGUUUUGACGUUACCAACAGAAUAAGCACCGGCUAACUUCGUGCCAGCAGCCGCGGUAAUACGAAGGGGGCAAGCGUUAAUCGGAAUUACUGGGCGUAAAGCGCGCGUAGGUGGUUCGUUAAGUUGGAUGUGAAAGCCCCGGGCUCAACCUGGGAACUGCAUCCAAAACUGGCGAGCUAGAGUAUGGCAGAGGGUGGUGGAAUUUCCUGUGUAGCGGUGAAAUGCGUAGAUAUAGGAAGGAACACCAGUGGCGAAGGCGACCACCUGGGCUAAUACUGACACUGAGGUGCGAAAGCGUGGGGAGCAAACAGGAUUUAAAUACCCCUGGUAGUCCACGCCGUAAACGAUGUCGACUAGCCGUUGGGAUCCCUUGAGAUCUUAGUGGCGCAGCUAACGCAUUAAGUCGACCGCCUGGGGAGUUACGGCCGCAAGGUUAAAACUCAAAUGAAUUUGACGGGGGCCCGCACAAGCGGGUGGGAACAUGUGGUUUAAUUCCAAACCACCCCGAAAAACCUUUACCAGGCCUUGACAUGCAAAAAACUUUCCAGAAAAUGGAUUGGUGCCUUCCGGGAACUCUGACACAGGUGCUCCUGGGCUGUCGCCGCCUCGUGUCGUGAGAUGUUUGGGUUAAGUCCCGUAACGAGCGCAACCCUUG